rnacentral:rRNA from 1 species
UACGAGGGUGCAAGCGUUGUUCGGAAUUAUUGGGCGUAAAGCGCGUGUAGGCGGCUUUGCAAGUCGGGUGUGAAAUCCCUCAGCUUAACUGAGGAAGUGCGCCCGAAACUGCCGAGCUUGAGUACCGGAGAGGAGACUGGAAUUUACGGUGUAGCGGUGAAAUGCGUAGAUAUCGUAAGGAAGACCAGUGGCGAAGGCGGGUCUCUGGACAGUUCCUGACGCUGAGGCACGAAGGUCAGGGGAGCAAACGGG